rnacentral:lncRNA from 1 species
CUUUCAAUUUCCCUUUAUAAAUUUCCUUGUUUUGACAUAUCAAACACUUGGUUGAGGCCUUCACCUCAAGGUUAAGUCUCAAUGACCCUCCGUUGAAAUUGCCAUUCAAGGUGCUUGGGAGCGUCAAACAACAAGGAUGCAAAUAUGCUUCCUUGGAUUUAUACAUGAAACCUUGAACAUCUUUGCCACAUGCUUUACAAGUUUUGCCUCGUUUCCCUUUCUUUUUGAACUUGAAGCUGCUGUUUUUGAAGAACGAAUGGGUGGCGAUAGGCUUGGCCACCCCGCAAUUUUCAUGAAGAUGAAAGUCACAUUUCUUGUUAUUGCAUUGAUAACAUGAACCGAAGCCUAGUUCUUUGCAUCCGUCACACUGAAAUGGCGUUUCGGAAUAGCUUAGCUCGAGCUUGUGGCGAUGGCUGAAAUGCUCUAUCUCCGUGAUUUUCAUAUCUUUUACGUUUGCCCUUUUGCAGCUCUUGUUUUUCACUUUUUCUAAAAAGUUGAAACAUGCUUUUAAGGGUGUAAUGCAAAGUCCAAGACGUAAGUGAAAUAGAAUUAAUUUAAAAAAUUGAAGCUGGAUUCAAUAUAAAGAUUGAACCGUAACAAACUUAGCUUGAAUAUUAGAAUUGUUUUAAGUUCUUCAACAACUCAAGCAUUAAGAUAUAAAAAUUCAAGUGAUUCGAUAACUCAAAUUAUUCGAGUUUGAACUUAACUUAAUAAUAAUUAUAACAAAUCUAUAUAUUUUUUAAUUCAAAUCCGAAUAGUUUACAAACACAAAUAUAUCAUUUACACCCUAAACAUACUCGUAUCAAACAUAAAUUUGCAUCUAACAACCCCUGAAAACACAUACAUGCAAUCAAAUAUCAUAUAUUACUAACCUUUCUACAAAAUUAGAGAAUCAUAUGUUUUAAAGAUGAUUAUUGGAAUUGGAUUUCGACAAAGCUAACCAAGGUAAAUUAAAAAAAAAAAAAAGCAAGUAAAAUCAUGGAGAUAAGUAAUAGGGAGGGCUGUGAAGACUUACCAGCAACAAAGAUGAAAGAUUAUAGUAAAUUCAUUGGUGUGAGACCGAGCUUGGCAAUUCACCCGCAAGCUUUUAGGGGAAAAUUUAAAGCUUUAUAAGAAAACCUGAGGAUUAAUUUUAUUAAUUAAUUAGUUGAAUUCUGGUCUCCUUCAUUUCCAAGAAAGUUCAAAUUUAUCUUAUGUUAUGAAUUUUUUUUUCUAUUUCCAAUUUUCCAAAGAAUUGACUAAUCAACUAUUGGUUUACCCUUCUUCCAAUUUUCGCAUUAUUUUAUAUAUGAAAAAUUAGAAAAAUAUUCUAAAAAUAAGGUUUAAAAGGAGAAAAUAAGGUUUAAAAGGAGAUGUAUAUCUUUUAGGGUGUGUUUGGAUGAAAUUUUCAUAGGAAGAAAUUCAUUUGUAUCAAAAAUUUUCAAAAUUUUAAAAUCGAAUUUACUUAUUUGAGUAAAUAUAUCAAAAUAUUUGGAUAAUUUAAUAAAAGAAUUUUAAUAGUUCAAAUUCAUUUUUCAAAUUCCAUCUAAAUAAGUGUUUUUUUUUAAAUUACUAUUAAAAAUUAAACUUCAACAAUUAUUUUUAAUAUGUAUACUAUGCAUAUAUCAUGCUAAUUCUAUAAUGAUAUAUUUUCAAAAUAAACAAAUAUCUAUUAGUCAAACUUUCUUUUUCAAUUUGGAGGUUGCUCUUAGUUGAAUUGUGUAAUAUAGAUUAUAAUUAACUCCCAAUUUUCCAAAAAGAGGGGGAAAAGAAAAAUAAAAAUUUGAAAGUUAUUUUUUUCUAGAUUUUUUUACUUUUUGGAACUUAAAAUAAUUAAAAAAUACUAAAUAUUAAAAGUUUUAUAAAAUUCAAAAAAUAAUUUAUUAUAAUCAUAUUUCUAAAUUUUAAUUUUUCUUAGUAUUUAGUCAAUUUGAGUGAUGUAUUAUCCGUUAUUAAAAUAUAUAAAGCCGAAUUCACCGACUUAAUUGACUCGCAAUUAUCAUUUUUAAUUUAUUUCAAAUAUAUUUAUAAUAUAAUAUAUAAUAUAAUUUUAAUUACUUUAACCUAAAGUUCAAUUACCCAACCCAACCAAUAAUCCAUUAAUACUAGCCUAAUAUUUAUUUAUUUUUACUUAACACAAAGGGAAUUAGCUUAUGAAUUUAAUUAAAGAUAAAUUACACGUAAGAUCAUCAAAUUAUUAAUAAUUUAUAUUUUAAUUAUUAGACUUUAAAAAGUUAAAAGAUAGUGGCAAAGCGUAAUGGCCCCCUAAAAUAGUGAAUUUUUAGUUUAGGCUUUUUAUAAUUUAUAAAAUUUUAAAUUAAUAAUGGCAAAAUUGUACUUUGACUCCUCCAGAAAUGAUAAAAAUUUGAUUUAACCCUUAAAAAACUAUAAAGGUGCAUGCUUAUUAAAAUGAUGAAAUUGUAUUUUUACUAUGAUAAAAAUAUACAAUUUAGUUCCACCCCCUCCCCAAAAAAAUUUUGGGAUCUACCACUAGUCACUAAACUAUUCAAAAGUUAAGUCACUGGGCUGUUAGAAUCGUUCUUGUAUGGCCUUCUCUGUUUGCACCACCUAUAUCAAUCGAAAGAUCUCCUUCCAUUUCUCUUGAACAUCAUGAAUCUGCAAACCAAAAUCUAGAUAGUUGUCUUCUUCGAUCUCUAAAACCAUCAAAUUAAUUUGACUAUAAGGUAUGUUCUUUUUCUCAUCAAUGAGUUCUGAUCUACCGUACUGAUGGUCAAAUAAUUUCCAUGUUUUUUGUUAGGAUAUGUUCACAUCAACAGAUUUUCAAACAAGAACAAACUAGUUAACUUUUGGCUAUGAAUUUAUACAUGACUAAGCCUCAUUUCAUGUGUUCUGUUAUUUCUAUUUUCUCUUGAAAUGUAAUAUUGAUCUACAACUAGAAAAUUGUCAUGCUUAUGAACAAAAUUGAUCAACUCCCAUUGCUUGUUCCGACAUUAAAAUAAAUUUAUACAAGUCAAUAAUUAUAUUACAAUGAGGGAAAGAGGAGAGCGUUUACAAACACAGGAAUCUAACUCUAAAUUUCAUACUAAUCAACUUGAAACAUACAAAAGUUUGCCGGUGUAGGAAUGAUGUGAUUAGCAAUUAUUUAACAACAUUGGCCAGCAUUCAAUUAUCUGCAGUAAAGAGAAUAGUCUAACUAAUCCAGGAAGAAACAACAGCCCCUAAAACAGCUUGGACUAUGAGAUUCAAAGCAUAUCUCAUCAAUGGCCGUUCAUUUUCCUUUCUCCCACUUGAACUUCCCCUAUUUUCUUCAUUGAUAAACACUAACCCAUUUGUCACACCACCGCUUUGUGAUUGAUUGAAAUAACCCAUUUUCCAAUUCUCAAAGUUCAAAUUAUUCACACACCCAACAUGGUAACAGUGCUUCCCACAACUCGAAAUAUAAGCCCACCCUUUCAAUUUCCCUUUAGAAAUUUCCUUGUUUUGACAUAUCAAACACUUGGUUGAGGCCUUCACCUUAAGGUUAAGUCUCAACGACCUUCCGUUGAAAUCGCCAUUCAAGGUGCUUGGGAGCUCCAAACAAGAAGGAUGCAAAUAUGUUUCCUUGGAUUUAUACAUGAAACCUUGAACAUCUUUGCCACAUGCUUUACAAGUUUUGCCU